rnacentral:rRNA from 1 species
AACUAGACAUAGCUCAAAACUAACUCCACAAAACUAUAUAAACAGAACAAAAACAAAACAAAACAUUUAUAAGACAAAAGUAUGGGCGAUAGAAAUUAUAUUUGACGCUAUAGAGGCAGUACCGUAAGGGAACUAAUGAAAGAGACCCAUAAGUAGGCAAUAGCAAAGCUUAACCCUUGUACCUUUUGCAUAAUGAUUCAAUUAGAACACCUUAGCAAAAAGAAUUUAAGUUAAAAACCCCGAAACCAGACGAGCUACCUAGCAGCAACUCAGAGAGUGAACUCGUCUAUGUGGCAAAAUAGUGAGACGACUUCUAGGUAGAGGCGAAAAACCUAUCGAGCCUGGUGAUAGCUGGUUGUCCAGAAGAGAAUUUUAGUUCUAAUCUAAGUUACGCCAAAAAUAAGACGAAAUAAAAUGCAAACUUAGACUAUAGUCUAAAAGGGUACAGCCUUUUAGACACGGGAUACAACCCCUACUAGAGAGCAAAACAAAACAAACCACCAUAGUUGGCCUAAGAGCAGCCAUCAAAUAAGACAGCGUUCAAGCUCAACAGCACCCGUAACCUAAUUCCAACUAACAACAGCUGAUACUCCUAAUAUAUAAACUGGACCACUCUAUUUCUGAAUAGAAGAGAUAAUGUUGAUAUGAGUAACAAGAAAUAUUUCUCCCAGCACAUGUGUAUAUCUGAACGAAUACAUCACUGAUAAUUAACAAAACAAACAUAACCCAACCACUCGCCACGCUAUUAAUUGUUAAUCCAACACAGGAGUGCUACUAGGGAAAGAUUAAAAAAAGUAAAAGGAACUAGGCAAGCAUAAACCCCGCCUGUUUACCAAAAACAUCACCUCUAGCAUGAAAAGUAUUAGAGGCACUGCCUGCCCGGUGACUUUAGUUUAACGGCCGCGGUAUCCUGACCGUGCAAAGGUAGCAUAAUCACUUGUUCUCUAAAUAGGGACUUGUAUGAACGGCCUCACGAGGGUUUGACUGUCUCUUACUUUUAAUCAGUGAAAUUGACAUUCUCGUGAAGAGGCGAGAAUAACAUAAUUAGACGAGAAGACCCUAUGGAGCUUUAAUUAACUAACUCAUAAAUAUAAUAAUCACCCACAAGGCACAAUCCCCCUUUUACUGAGUUAGCAAUUUGGGUUGGGGUGACCUCGGAAUAUAGACAAGCUCCCGAGAAAGUCAAUCAAGACACACAAGUCAAAAUUAAUUUAUUAAACACUGAUCCGCUAUAGCGAUCAACGGAAUAAGUUACCCUAGGGAUAACAGCGCAAUCCUAUUUAAGAGUCCAUAUCGACAAUUAGGGUUUACGACCUCGAUGUUGGAUCAGGACAUCCCAAUGGUGUAGCAGCUAUUAAUGUGUUCGUUUGUUCAACGAUUAAAGUCCUACGUGAUCUGAGUUCAGACCGGAGCAAUCCAGGUCGGUUUCUAUCUAUUUUAGGUCCCUCCCAGUACGAAAGGACAAGAGAGACAGGGCCUACUCAAAAUGAGCGCCUUAAGACAAUGGAUGAAUUCAUCUUAAUCACACUAUGUACAAUAAAACCCAAGAAUAAGGGCUC